rnacentral:rRNA from 1 species
AUUGAACGCUGGCGGCAUGCCUUACACAUGCAAGUCGAACGGCAGUACGGGGCAACCUGGUGGCGAGUGGCGAACGGGUGAGUAAUGCAUCGGAACGUACCUUUCAGUGGGGGAUAACGUAGCGAAAGUUACGCUAAUACCGCAUAUUCUGUGAACAGGAAAGCAGGGGAUCGCAAGACCUUGCGCUGAUUGAGCGGCCGAUGUCAGAUUAGCUAGUUGGUGAGGUAAAGGCUCACCAAGGCGACGAUCUGUAGCGGGUCUGAGAGGAUGAUCCGCCACACUGGAACUGAGACACGGUCCAGACUCCUACGGGAGGCAGCAGUGGGGAAUUUUGGACAAUGGGGGCAACCCUGAUCCAGCCAUGCCGCGUGAGUGAAGAAGGCCUUCGGGUUGUAAAGCUCUUUCGGCCGGGAAGAAAUCGCACGGGCUAAUACCCUGUGUGGAUGACGGUACCGGAAUAAGAAGCACCGGCUAACUACGUGCCAGCAGCCGCCGUAAUAC